GGACGAACGCUGGCGGCGUGCCUAACACAUGCAAGUCGAACGGACGAGAUGGCUUCGGCCAUCGAGUUAGUGGCGGACGGGUGAGUAACGCGUGAGCAACCUGCCUCACAGAGGGGGAUAACACACGGAAACGUGUGCUAAUACCGCAUAAUUCAUACUUGUGGCAUCACGGGUAUGGCAAAGGAGCAAUCCGCUGUGAGAUGGGCUCGCGUCCGAUUAGAUAGUUGGCGGGGUAACGGCCCACCAAGUCUGCGAUCGGUAGCCGGACUGAGAGGUUGAUCGGCCACAUUGGGACUGAGACACGGCCCAAACUCCUACGGGAGGCAGCAGUGAGGGAUAUUGCACAAUGGGCGAAAGCCUGAUGCAGCAACGCCGCGUGAGGGAUGACGGUCUUCGGAUUGUAAACCUCUGUCCUCAGUGAAGAAGAAAGUGACGGUAGCUGAGGAGGAAGCCACGGCUAACUACGUG
rnacentral:rRNA from 1 species